UUAAAUGAAAAAAGAAAAAAGAGUAAGACAACUUCCCUAAUUGCCUGUUAUUUCAGCUUCACCUAAGUUUUUAACACCUCUUUGUAUGUAAGGUCUUGAGACAUGUAAGGCCUUGUACUUUUUAUUUAAAAUGUCUGUCUAAAGAAUUACUGCUCUUAAUAGAAACUUCCAGUAGAGCCACCGCGCCUGGCCUAUUUCUGUAAUUUUUAUUGUAAUAAAAGAAUAAUACUCCACAAAUACUUACAGUGAUAAUGCCUACGGCAUAAAGACACAAUCCAAGGUAACUCAAGUUUCAUUGAGAGGUCACCAGAAACUGGGAAGUGAGGUAAGGGACACAAGUCAACGGGGAUGCUAGAUUCGUCCCCUCUGGUCUCCGUAGAGGGAGCUAUAAAAGGAGGUUCGUCCACAAGCAGAAACCCCUCUGUGGCGCCUCAACGCUAAGGACCCCUACGAG
rnacentral:lncRNA from 1 species